rnacentral:rRNA from 1 species
UACGUAGGAGACGAGCGUUGUCCGGAAUUACUGGGCGUAAAGCGCGUGUAGGCGGAUGGGCAAGUCUGCUGUGAAAGCUCCUGGCUUAACCGGGAGUGGUCGGUGGAAACUGCCAAUCUGGAGGACGGUAGAGGUAGGUAGAAUUCCCGGUGUAGUGGUGAAAUGCGUAGAGAUCGGGAGGAAUACCUGUGGCGAAGGCGGCUCUCUGGGACGGUACUGACGCUGAGACGCGAAAGCGUGGGGAGCGAACAGG